CUACGUGCCAGCAGCCGCGGUAAUACGUAGGGGGCAAGCGUUAUCCGGAUUCAUUGGGCGUAAAGCGCUCGUAGGCGGUCUGUUAGGUCGGGAGUUAAAUCCGGGGGCUCAACCCCCGUUCGCUCCCGAUACCGGCAGACUUGAGUUUGGUAGGGGAAGGUGGAAUUCCUAGUGUAGCGGUGGAAUGCGCAGAUAUUAGGAAGAACACCAGUGGCGAAGGCGGCCUUCUGGGCCAUAACUGACGCUGAGGAGCGAAAGCUAGGGGAGCAAACAGGAUUAGAUACCCUGGUAGUCCUAGCCGUAAACGAUGGACACUAGGUGUGGGGGAAUAUUUCUUCCGUGCCGCAGCUAACGCAUUAAGUGUCCCGCCUGGGGAGUACGGCCGCAAGGCUAAAACUCAAAGGAAUUGACGGGGGCCCGCACAAGCAGCGGAGCAUGUGGUUUAAUUCGAAGCAACGCGAAGAACCUUACCAGGGCUU
rnacentral:rRNA from 1 species